GAGUUUGAUCCUGGCUCAGGAUGAACGCUGGCGGCGUGCUUAACACAUGCAAGUCGAACGAAGCACUUUUGCUGAGACCUUCGGGUGGAUUUAAAAGUGACUUAGUGGCGGACGGGUGAGUAACGCGUGGGUAACCUGCCUCACACAGGGGGAUAACAGUUAGAAAUGACUGCUAAUACCGCAUAAGCGCACGGUCUCGCAUGGGACAGUGUGAAAAACUCCGGUGGUGUGAGAUGGACCCGCGUCUGAUUAGCUAGUUGGUGGGGUAACGGCCUACCAAGGCGACGAUCAGUAGCCGACCUGAGAGGGUGACCGGCCACAUUGGGACUGAGACACGGCCCAAACUCCUACGGGAGGCAGCAGUGGGGAAUAUUGCACAAUGGGGGAAACCCUGAUGCAGCAACGCCGCGUGAGCGAUGAAGGCCUUCGGGUCGUAAAGCUCUGUCCUCAAGGAAGAUAAUGACGGUACUUGAGGAGGAAGCCCCGGCUAACUACGUGCCAGCCGCCGCGGUAAUAC
rnacentral:rRNA from 1 species